ACCCCUGUGAGAAUGCCCUACAUCUUCCCUUUCCUGGGAAAAAGGAGCAGGCAUAAGGCACAACCACGAGUUAGCCCACAACGCCUUGCUUAGCCACACCCCCAAGGGAACUCAGCAGUAAUAAACAUUAAGCAAUAAGUGAAAACUUGACUUAGUUAAAGCCAAGAGGGCCGGUAAAACUCGUGCCAGCCACCGCGGUUAUACGAGAGGCCCAAGUUGACAAAUACCGGCGUAAAAUGUGGUUAACAUAAUGAUACACUAAAGCUAAACAUCUUCAAAGCUGUUAUACUCUUAUGAAGACAGGAAGCACUUCUACGAAAGUGGCUUUAAGUAAUGCUACCCACGAAAGCUAGGAAACAAACUGGGAUUAGAUACCCCACUAUGCCUAGCCUUAAACACAAGCAAUACCUUUACACCUUUUGCUUGCCAGGGAACUACGAGCCCCAGCUUAAAACCCAAAGGACUUGGCGGUGCUUUAGACCCCCCUAGAGGAGCCUGUUCUAGAACCGAUAACCCCCGUUAAACCUCACCUUCUCUUGUUCCUCCCGCCUAUAUACCGCCGUCGUCAGCUUACCCUGUGAAGGACUAACCGUGAGCUUAAUUGGUACAACCCAAAACGUCAGGUCGAGGUGUAGCGUACGAGAAGGGAAGAAAUGGGCUACAUUCACUGAGUCAGUGCAUACGAACAAUGCUUUGAAAUCUAAACAUUCGAAGGAGGAUUUAGCAGUAAGG
rnacentral:rRNA from 1 species